GCUGGCGGGGGGAGAAGCAAGCUUGCUUCUCCCCCAUCGCCAGCCCCACAAGCUCGGGGGGUAGCGGGGAGGCGGAGCGCCGCCAUCCCGCUAUUCCCGGACCUGAUCUGGAGGCUGGCGGGGGGGAAGAAGCAAGCUUGCUCCCCCCCCCGCCAGC